rnacentral:rRNA from 1 species
AAGCCCCCCUCAAGAUGAGAUUUCCCACAGUUUAUACUGGUAAGAUCCCUGAAAGAUGAUCAGGUUGAUAGGUCCGGGGUGGAAGCGCGGCGACGCGUGGAGCUGACGGAUACUAAUCGAUCGAGGACUUAACCAC